AAAUGCCUUCUUUUCGUAACGCGAGAACCCCUGUGGGCCACGCCCCUUCCUGGACGCCCGGGACCUGGGCGGGAAAAGAGGGGGGCGGGGCGGCCAACGAGUAGGCGAAAGGAAGCUCGCUGAAAGGGUGCGAGCGGAGUAGUUCUUCCCGACGGGUUGCUGAAUUAUCUUUGGUUGGCUUGUACAACAGAAUCUUUUGAAGAAUCUGAAAUAAUUGUUCAGAAGAAGUUUGGAAUACACGCUGGGAAUUCUGUGUGACUGUAUUGAGAACACUAUUUCAGAGGAGCUAAGGGUCCCUCUGGUGGGCUACCGCGGCAGGCGCCUCAGGUCCGCAGAUUUAAGGACCCAGAACCCCGGCCCACCAUGAGGACUGCGCAAACACGACAAAGCUGGAUGGCGGGCUUAAUAUAGAAUAUUGAAGGGAGCGGCCUGUCAUAAGGUUGCAUAUUAGCAGAAGGAACACCAGCAGCUGAGUUUUGGAGCCUGGAAAUUUGCCUUUUCGUGAGGAUUUUGGAAUGGAGCCCUGAAGAGCAGAUUAUAGACCUGGUGGCAGCAACCUAAGCUCUGGAGGCUGUAUCUCCCAGAGGAUGAUCAGUUCCGGGGAUCAGUAACCACCAUUGAUUUGGAUUCUGAAAAUCUAAACAGCUUCAACAUUUGGAAACAUGGUCACCUUGUGUGUCAGGCUGUUCACAAGAGAUCAUUCAGCAGGCCCGAUUGGUUUCAUUACCCCACCCAACAGGAAUUUCUAUACCUUUUAAUCAUUUUAUGUGUACACAUUGGUUGCCCUUAUAUUGGAAGGGUGAGAUCUUUAAGCCAAAAAUUGUUUCUCUUGAAUAUAAUGUCUAAUACCAUAAUAAACAAUGGUCUUUGGUGAUUCUUGAA